rnacentral:rRNA from 1 species
CGGAGGGUGCGAGCGUUAUCCGGAAUUACUGGGUUUAAAGGGUGCGUAGGCGGCUAUGUAAGUCAGGAGUGAAAGUUUGCGGCUCAACCGUAAAUUGCUUUUGAUACUGCAUGGCUAGAAUUAGGAUGAGGUCAGCGGAAUGUGGCAUGUAGCGGUGAAAUGCAUAGAUAUGCCAUAGAACACCAAUUGCGAAGGCAGCUGGCUAGACCUGGAUUGACGCUGAGGCACGAAAGCGUGGGGAGCGAACAGGAUU